CUCCCCAAGCCUUGCACCGGGAACCCCCUUCAGCCAGUUGGGCUCACACAUCGGCCAUGGUAGCAGUGUUGGGAAGCCCCCCAACACCUCCCACCCCCACCCAGGCCGCGCCAAGUCUAGGACAGACAGCAACACAGGAGCCACCGAGGACCAGGGCCACAGGCAAAAAGACAGCAGCACAAAGGUAAGUCUGCCUCUGCUACACAGCCUUACAUACACUCCCCUACAUACAGUAUUUAUUUGGAGAGUGAAGCUAAAACCUUUAAUUUGGCUCUAUACUCCAGCAUUCUGGAUUGGAGAUUCAUUGUUUUGUAUGAGGAGAAAGUACAGAAUGUCACUUUUUAUUUGAGCGUAUUUUCAUACAUAUCUAUUAUAUCGUUUAGAAAUGAAAGCACUUUAUGUAUCUAGUCCCCCCAUUUGAAGGUGUCUUUGGUUAAAUUAAUUUAUAGUGUAUUAAAGUAGUCAAACGUUUAGUAUUUGGUCCCAUAUUCCUAGCACACAAUGACUACAUCAAGCUUGUGACUCUACAAACUUGUUAGAUGCAUUUGCAGUUUGUUUUAGAUGCAUUUCGGGUUAUGUUGUGCUUAAUAUAAAUUAAUGGUAAAUAAGGUAUCGUCAUUUUGGAGUAACUUUUAUUUUAAAUAAGAAUAGAAUAUGUUUCUGAACACACACAAAGAUCAUGCCCCUCAAAGCAUGCUAACCUGUCACCAUUACCAAUAACAGGAGAGGUUAGCAUUUUAUAUCAUACCCCCAAGACAUGCUAACCUGUCACCAUUACCAAUAACAGGAGAGGUUAGCAUUUUGGGGGGUAUGAUCUUUGUUCCUCUAUAACUUUCUCACCCAGCAUUAUUCACAAUUCGUAUAAGUGAAUUUGUCCAAAUACUUAUGAAAAAUAACAUAUUCAAAUGGGGGACUACAUACAUAAAGUUAUUUCAUUUCUAAAACACAUACUGUAUGAAAAAAAACUCAAAUAAAAUGUGACAUUCUGUACUGUCACCUCAUAUAAAACAUUUGAUCUCAAAUCCAAAAUGGUGGAGUAUAGAGCCAAAUGUACAUAUUUUAGCUUCACUGUCCAAUUACAUACUUAGGGGAGUGUACAUCUUUAGAGACAGGGUUCACUCCCCCAAAGUGGAAAAUAUACCAGUCAACUGUGGACUGUGUGACAUAUUGUAUGGUCAAGUGAUACCCUGAUAGAUGCUCAUAGGUAGAAGUCUUGAUGUGGCGGACGGGCAGGCGAUCAACAGAGUACAAGAUUGAAGGUGACUGAUAGAGAGUUCUUUGUCACCUGUCAUCUUCUCCUGUCUGUGCUGGAGGCUGAGGGCUGGAUGACCUGGGGUCAGGGUGUGUUUGUCUGCCAGGCGCGUCUGUGGCAGCACCACGGUGACAUGUCUGUUGUGUCAUGAUGACAGACAGCAGGCUAAACUGGCACUGAGCUGAUGAACAGCCAGGAGAUGAGAUGAUGGUUCUCACUGGGACACAGAAUCAGUGUCACUCCAGUGUUACUCUUGGUACUGGUUGGUUUCAACCUUAAGGCUGCUGCCGUUGUCAGCAAGAUGAUGGUUUAUUGAGUUAGUGCGGGCGGGAGUGCAUUAGGCUUCUUCAGUGAAUACUUUACCUUGUGUUAGGUGACACAACAACUCAUCUGAAUGUGGUGUGGCCAGACGAGCACCACUAGCAAUGAUCUAAUUUCUAUAUUCUUGUGGUUUUAUAUAACAAUCAUUGUCAGGGUGGAGGUAUAACUGAAGUUGUAAUCAUUGUCAGGGUGGAGGUAUAACCGAAGUUGUAAUCAUUGUCAGGGUGGAGGUAUAACUGAAGUUGUAAUCCUGUCAGGGUGGAGGUAUAACUGAAGUUGUAAUCAUUGUCAGGGUGGAGGUAUAACUGAAGUUGAAAUCAUUGUCAGGCUAGACAAGCAGCAUUUACAGUCUCUGUUGUCCUUUUACUUUGGUCAUGGAAACAAUGUGGUCACUUUUCACCUCUGCUAUUUCAAUAUGUGUGUGUUUACAUUAAGGAAAGUGAAAGAGGU
rnacentral:lncRNA from 1 species